rnacentral:rRNA from 1 species
CAGGCCUAACACAUGCAAGUCGAACGGAUGUAGCAAUACAUUAGUGCCGCACGGGGUGCGUAACACGUAACUAACCUGCCCAAGACUGGGGGAUAGCCCGCCGAAAGGCGGAUAAAUACCGCAUAAUAUCUACGAGUGGCAUCACUUGUUGAUUAAACCUGAGGGGGUCUUGGAUGGGGUUGCGGGUCAUUAGCUAGUUGGUAAGGUAACGGCUUACCAAGGCGACGAUGACUAGGGGAGCUGAGAGGCUGGUCCCCCACACGGGCACUGAGAUACGGGCCCGACUCCUACGGGAGGCAGCAGUAGGGAAUAUUGGGCAAUGGGCGAGAGCCUGACCCAGCCAUGCCGCGUGCAGGAAGAAGGCUUUCUGAGUCGUAAACUGCUUUUGACAGGGAAGAAUAAGCUGUACGUGUACAGUGAUGAC